GUCUUCGUGGUGUAACGGUCAGCACACUCGGCGGGUAUUCAGCAGGUCCGAGGUUCGAGUCCUAGCGAGGGCA
rnacentral:tRNA from 1 species